UUAAUGAGGUGGUUAGCUCCACCCUAACCCCAGUUUAUCUUGGGGUUGUGCCCAAUUCUGAGCAUAACUUUGAACAGAUGUAGCAACAAACUUCUUGGCCAUUGGUAGCUCCUGCUUGUCUUUAAAUGCCUUGAGGAGAGACAACCUGUUUCAGCUACCUAAGAAAGGAACUUGUAGGACUGUGAAAUACAGUGACCUCAAAAGUUCAAAGCAUGAAAAGACUCUACUUCAUUGCCUCUGCUCUGGACAAACCUUGGUUCUUAGUUUUCCUGGUGGUGAUGAAAAAAUCAACCAAAAUCAAUACCGGUGGAAUAAGGACCUCAAUUAAGUCAGGAACCUUCUUCAUUCAUGUUGGAAAGACUACUGCAAAUAAAGGCAAAACUCCUUCUUCUACGUUCUGAUGUCUGACCCCACCCAGCCGAAGGACACAAGUGAAAACACUGGGUUCCCUGUGUAUGAAUGGGCAAUUAUUGCAUGCUCACCUGUUCUACAGGAAUGGUGUGGACGUAACCCAGUCUCAUGCAACAGAAGAUCACAGCUGAAUAUAGACAGAGAAGACACAUUCUUCAGAGAUUUCAGCUGCUCAACACAUACACAUGGCUUUUCUAAGAGUUUAUGAAGCAGUUGAAUUUCAUCAGUUUUUCCUGAAA
rnacentral:lncRNA from 1 species